rnacentral:rRNA from 1 species
AGCGAACGCUGGCGGCAGGCCUAACACAUGCAAGUCGAACGAACCUUUCGGGGUUAGUGGCGGACGGGUGAGUAACACGUGGGUACGUGCCUUUAGGUUCGGAAUAACUCAGGGAAACUUGUGCUAAUACCGAAUGUGCCCUUCGGGGGAAAGAUUAAUCGCCUUUAGAGCGGCCCGCGUCUGAUUAGCUAGUUGGUUGAGGUAAUGGCUCACCAAGGCGACGAUCAGUAGCUGGUCUGAGAGGAUGAUCAGCCACAUUGGGACUGAGACACGGCCCAAACUCCUACGGGAAGCAGCAGUGGGGAAUCUUGCGCAAUGGGCGAAAGCCUGACGCAGCCAUGCCGCGUGAAUGAUGAAGGUCUUAGGAUUGUAAAAUUCUUUCACCGGGGACGAUAAUGACGGUACCCGGAGAAGAAGCCCCGGCUAACUUCGUG